rnacentral:rRNA from 1 species
CCAAGUCUGAACCAGCCAUGCCGCGUGCAGGAAGAAGGCCUUCUGGGUCGUAGACUGCUUUUGCCAGGGGAUAAUAUACCGAUGCGUCGGUAAUUGAAGGUACCUGGUGAAUAAGCCACGGCUUACUACGUGCCAGCAGCCGCGGUAAUACGUAGGUGGCAAGCGUUGUCCGGAUUUAUUGGGUUUGAAGGGUGCGUAGGCGGUCCUAUAAGUCAGUGCUGACAUAUCCCGGCCUUACCGGGAGGCUGGCAUUGAUACUGUAGGACUUGAGUAAAGUUGAGGUAAGCGGUAUUGACGGUGUAGCGGUGAUAUGCUUAGAUAUCGUCAAGAACACCUAUUGCGAAGGCAGCUUACUAAGCUAUAACUGACGCUGAGGCAACGGAAGGUGGUGGGGCAAUUCAAAACCAGGAAUUUAGAAUACCCCUGGGUAGUCCCACACUUGUAAACGUUUGAAAGACUCGAUGUUUAGCGAUACACUGUUUAGCGUCUGAGAGAAAUCGUUUAGUCUUCCCACCCUGGGGAUGUACGCCCGCAACGGUGAAACUCAAAGGGAAUUG